rnacentral:lncRNA from 1 species
CCCGCCGCCCAAGCCCGGCCCCGCCCGAGGCCGAGGGCCCGCCUCGUACAUGGGAUCUACGGGGACGCUGAUGGGCGCCCACGAUGGCUCUCGGGACCCAAGAGAGACGCUGUCCAAAAGCCAGGACGCGGACGUGCCGGGCGGGCCUGAGAGCCUGACCUUCCGGGAGCGCCAGCGCCUCUUCUCCCAGGGCCACGAGGUCUCCAGUAAGGUGAAAGCCUCCCGCCGGCUGACGGAGCUGGAGAACGAGCUGAACACCAAGUGAGCGGCCCGAGCGCCUCCGAGGAGGGCACCCGCCUCCCAGGGCGGCGUUGGGAGUGUGCCCGCGCUCAGAAGUGCUUGACUUUCACAGGAGACUCUGGUUGAUACAGUUCUCUGACUCCCAUGCAGACGGCUUUUUUGUGAGUUUCCUUCUUAGAUCCUGGGCUGGGGGAGCGGACUGGAGGGCCAUGGGGGUGGGGAGUCCGCCCCUCCCCGCCACGCAGCACAAAGUCGCCCUCUCUGUUCUUCAAAAACCCGGUUCGGCUCUCGAACAGCAAAGCCUCCCAGAUGUGCGUGCGUGCGUGCGUCGGGAGCGUCAGGUCUUCUCCGCCAGGAGGGCGCUUGUCUGUAGGAGACCCGCCCCGAGCUCAGCACCAAGCUCCCAAAGGGACGCUGCUCCCUCCUGUCCCAACAGGGCAGCCCCCGGGGUAGCUCUGAGCGUCCGAUUGGAAAAGCUUCUCCCAGAAAAUGUUAGGGUUCCAGCCUGGGAGAUUUUAGGUUUAUAAAUACCAGAUGGCUGUUACACCAGCAAAGCCUUGGGGGCUUGGAAGACGACAGUCCAGUUAGUGCACGAGCUGUUCCAAGUGUUCCGAGGGAGUCUGUCCUGAGCUGAACAGUGGCGUGGACGUGAUUAGGAACAGAAACACCUGAGAAGACUGGGCGCUUCGGAGGCGACAUGGAGCACAGCCCUGCUCAGAGAUGCAAAACGCGAACCCUCGGUUUCCAGGCUCUGCUGUCAGGGCGCCAGGGAGAGGAAGGGUGUGGUGGCACAGGGCGCCUGUCACUUAAAUGCUGUAAGAGUAACUCGUGUGGCGGUUCCGGCUAUUUUUCUACAUUCUGAUAGAGUUAUUUAAUUUUCAUGUACUGAUCAUUAGUUACCACUGUCACUUCUUCCGCUGUGAACACGGGGCUGCUGUCAGGGAGCCGCGCCUCGCUCUGUUCUCUGACACGCGAUGUUCCGACACUAAAUGACCUUGUGCCCACGGGCCAAUUGUCCAUCUGAUGUGCGCGCUGUGGCCCUGGAUGGUUGUCUGUGCCAUGUCAUUCUCUCCCACGCGGGCACACUUUCCAGCAGAGACGCAGAGGCUCUCCAGCCCCGGAAGUCACUUGCCUGAGCGCUGUGUGAGAACUCGUGAGGGCACGAGUGUAAGUAACGGCCGUGUCUGUCGGGGCUCUGCUUUGGAAGUGUGCUGUGCCCACGCCACGCAGGGGAGUGAGACGGCGCCACGUGCUCAUGAAGGAUUGCAUGCUUGCUCCCGAAGUGCCAGGCAGAGCGGGCCCUCCCGAGUUCUCGGCAACCCCGCAGCCUUGGAGGACUAAAUCCACACUUUCUUUGAAGAAGAAGCCGCAGGCGAACGAUGUUUCUGUUAAUACAUAGAAAAACAACAAACACACCUGAGUACAUGCAAAUACAUGUAAAUACCUACGUGCAGGGAUAUUUGUAUGUGUGGUGGUAAACCUGUAACACGUGGAUUCGGCCGUCCUCGGACGAGGGGCCAGAUGUGAAAAUGUGUGAGAGUGCUUUUCUUGACUGCGUUCCUGGGGAGAGGACAUCAAACUGCUGUAGUUUCCAUUUCUACUGUAUUUCAUUCGCAGCCUAUUUUUAAUAAACUUUGUAUGUAUUUA